GAAAAACCUUAAACCACGGCAGAGAGACGGAUACAUAAAUUCAAUCAAACCAACAACAACACAGACAGCCACAAGGAGUAGAACACAUCCGCCAUGUUUCAAUCCAAGUGUCAGAUCCAAAGAUCGGUGAUGAUGUCUUACAGCUGUCUACAGAACUUGUAAUCAAACCCCUUCUGGACUCUCCAAAGGGCUUGGACACAUCAGCCUCUUUACUGAAACCCUUCAGUGAACUGUACAGAGUUAAACUAACUCAGGAAGGUAAAUUAAAGCUGGGACCUUUGACAGUAAACAUUAGAGAAACUCUGAAUACGAAGAAAUGUGCUGUGCCAGGCGGUUCAGCCACCACUCCUGCUGCAUCACUUAUUCAAUGAUAAGGCGCUCCUGCGGUGAGUCAGCCUGGAAGGAAACGGAGGCAGAGAAAGGAGAGGGCAGAAAACCAAACAGAGCAGGCGGACUGGUUAUGUUCCUGCAACACACAGCACACACACCAUCAACGGGAAGGCAGACGGCUGAAAACAAAUGAAAGCUUUCAAAAGACAACAACAACAACAACAACAACAAUGGCUGACUGGAG